CGAAAGCCUGACGGAGCAAGACCGCGUGAGGGAGGAAGGCUCUUGGGUUGUAAACCUCUUUUCUCAGGGAAGAAGCUCUGACGGUACCUGAGGAAUCAGCCUCGGCUAACUCCGUGCCAGCAGCCGCGGUAAUACGGAGGAGGCAAGCGUUAUCCGGAAUUAUUGGGCGUAAAGCGUCCGCAGGUGGCGAUUCAAGUCUGCUGUCAAAACCCAGGGCUCAACUCUGGUCAGGCAGUGGAAACUACAUAGCUAGAGUUCGGUAGGGGCAAAGGGAAUUCCCGGUGUAGCGGUGAAAUGCGUAGAGAUCGGGAAGAACAUCGGUGGCGAAAGCGCUCUACUGGACGGCAACUGACACUCAGGGACGAAAGCUAGGGGAGCG
rnacentral:rRNA from 1 species